UACGAAGGGAGCUAGCGUUGUUCGGAAUUACUGGGCGUAAAGCGCACGUAGGCGGAUUGCUAAGUCAGGGGUGAAAUCCCGAGGCUCAACCUCGGGUCUGCAGUCGAUACGGGCGGACUGGAGUUCGGCAGGGGAGACUGGAAUUCCUGGUGUAGCGGUGAAAUGCGCAGAUAUCAGGAGGAACACCGGUGGCGAAGGCGGGUCUCUGGGCCGAUACUGACGCUGGAGGAGCGAAAGCGUGGGGAGCGAACAGG
rnacentral:rRNA from 1 species